ensembl:misc_RNA
UUGACAGCUCUGAAAAAUGAAAUAAUCUAAUCAUCCCCAGAGCAUGGGCAGCAGCAGGACAGGCUUCCCCUACUAACAUGCCUCAAACGUGACCUGGAAAGGCUGUUGAUAGAAAUGGGGCGUAUAAUCUCUGCGGUCUAAUGACUCCUUGCCUUUU